CCUACGGGUGGCUGCAGUGAGGAAUAUUGGUCAAUGGACGCAAGUCUGAACCAGCCAUGCCGCGUGCAGGAUGACGGCUCUAUGAGCUGUAAACUGCUUUUGUACGAGGGUAAACCCCGAUACGUGUACCGCGUUGAAAGUACCGUACGAAUAAGGACCGGCUAACCCCGUGCCAGCAGCCGCGGUAAUACGGAGGAUCCGAGCGUUAUGCGGAUUUAUUGGGUUUAAAGGGUGCGUAGGCGGUUUGAUAAGUUAGAGGUGAAAUGUCGGGGCUCAACCCCGGAACUGCCUCUAAUACUGGUGGACUAGAGAGUGGUAGCGGUAGGCGGAAUGUAUGGUGUAGGAGUGAAAUGCUUAGAGAUCAUACAGAACACCGAUUGCGAAGGCGACUUACCAGACUAUAUCUGACGUUGAGGCACGAAAGCGUGGGUAGCAAACAGGAUUAGAUACCCUUGUAGUC
rnacentral:rRNA from 1 species